rnacentral:rRNA from 1 species
CAGCGCCGCGGUAAUACGAAGGGGGCUAGCGUUGUUCGGAAUUACUGGGUGUAAAGCGCACGUAGGCGGCUUGGUAAGUUAGAGGUGAAAGCCUGGAGCUCAACUCCAGAAUUGCCUUUAAGACUGCCGAGCUAGCAGGUGAGAGAGGUAAGUGGAAUUCCGAGUGUAGAGGUGAAAUUCGUAGAUAUUCGGAAGAACACCAGUGGCGAAGGCGGCUUACUGGCUCAUACUGGACGCUGAGGUGCGAAAGCGUGGGGAGCAAACAGGAUUAGAUACCCCCGUAGUCCCUGUCUCUUAUACA